rnacentral:rRNA from 1 species
UACGUAGGGGGCAAGCGUUGUCCGGAUUUAUUGGGCGUAAAGAGCGUGUAGGCGGUCAGGUAGGUCCGUUGUGAAAACUCGAGGCUCAACCUCGAGACGCCGAUGGAAACCAUCUGACUAGAGUCCGGAAGAGGAGAGUGGAAUUCCUGGUGUAGCGGUGAAAUGCGCAGAUAUCAGGAAGAACACCCGUGGCUAAGGCGGCUCUCUAGUACGGUACUGACGCUGAGACGCGAAAGCGUGGGUAGCGAACAGG